GCAAACUUGGUCAUUUAGAGGAAGUAAAAGUCGUAACAAGGUUUCCGUAGGUGAACCUGCGGAAGGAUCAUUAUUGAAAAAUAAAAACUUGGUCAGGUUUCUUGUUGCUGGCUCAACUUGCUUGAGUAAUGUGCACACACCUCGCCAUUUUUUUUUAAAUAUACAUCCCUCCACCUGUGCAUCAUCUGUGUAGCUUUUGAAAUGAAAAAAGGACUCUGCUGUGUGUGAGAGCACGGCUAAGUCUGUUUCAAAAGGUCUAUAUGUAUCUUUUCUCAUUUACCCCUUUACAAACAUGUUUGAAGAAUGUGAUCAUCACACGCACACAAUGUGUGAUAUAUAAUGCAUAUAUACAACUUUCAGCAACGGAUCUCUUGGCUCUCGCAUCGAUGAAGAACGCAGC
rnacentral:misc_RNA from 1 species